AUGUUUGAAUAAUUAAAUCUUUAAUUCAAGCUGUUGGUUUCAAGCAGGAGCCUAAAUCAAUGUCUUCCUAUGGUCUGUUGGCCAUUUCAGAACUUAGGAAAUGUAAUGGUCAAUUCAUUAGAAAGAAACAUCU